rnacentral:rRNA from 1 species
CCCUUAGAUGUUCUGGGCUGCACGUGUGCUACACUGAUAUUGCCAAUAUGUCAUUCUUAUCCGAAAUGGAUUGGGUAAUCAAGUAAUGAAAUUUCAUGCUUGGAAUCGGUAAUUGCAAUUUUAUCGUGAACGAGGAAUUCCUAGUAAGCACUAGUCAUCAGCUAAUGUUGAUUAUGUCCCUGCCCUUUGUACACACCGCCCGUCGCUACUACUGAUUGGGUGUUCAAGUGAGACGCUUAGACCCUUGUUGCAUGGUUCAUUAUUGUGCUCCGAAAGGAAAAAGUUUCAAGCUUGAGUGUCUAGAGGAAGUAAAAGUCGUAACA